AUCUCUCAUUUUAGCAAAAGGAAAGGAUAUUGAAGAAAGCUGAGAAAAGUCACAAGGAAAGAGUUGAGGAACUUAAUGGAAAACUAGACACACUCUCAGAGCAUUAUGACAUACCUAAAGUAUCCUGGACAAAAUAAAAAGAAAAACUGAUUAACUACUUGACUUGAUUCUCAUCUUUUACUCUCUCUCUCUCUUCCAAUUAUUGUUUCCAGUUCUGUUGUUUAGUAUGCUUACAUUUGGUGACCUACUCAUUAUAAAUUUAAGCUAUAAA